AUGUGUGCCAGACGAGAAUUUGCUGCCUCUGCUCUGAUCACACAUGUUCGCUGCCUGGCCAGCUAAUGUUGGCUAGCUCUCAAUUUUGCUGAUUGCUUAAUUUUUAUUUCACGUUAGCCAGUAGGUCACCUAGCUACCUGGGCUGUUACCUUAGGGUAGCCAGUUAAAUAACUUCACAACCCAAACGUCCUGCGUCACGGCUUUUGCGCGAACGUCGUAAGUGCCCACUGAUUGGUCCAGAGGAGUAAAGGACAGAUCCUGCAACCCAGUCCAAACCAGAGCGGACACACCUGCUCUGAGAGAGGCCAAGAUCCGGGCCUCUGAUCCUGAUCUGUCGUCAGCUGGAAGACCUGUUGUCAGCAAGGGCGGGGCCACAUUUCCUGGAGCGAUAUGUCAUCAGCAAAGUCCCCGUGUGGGUGGAGGCAGCGGGCAAAGCGCCACUGGCACACCAUGAGACACAGCGGCAGCAUGAAGAGAGCGCAGAUUCCUGCCAUGAUGUAGGCGAUGGUCAUAAGAGUGGACUCGUCCGUCUGAGGGAUGUUGUAGCCGCAGUCCUCCAGGUCGACGCCGUGGAACGGGCCCUUCACAGAGGCUGUGCGAAACUCGUCGUGCACUAGAAAUGGUAGAAUGGGAUUGUGCUAACAGCAAAGCCGAUGCGUUUCUUCUCACGGUCGAAGACCACAUAGAAGCCUUCCAUGAUGACAGCCCCCAUGACUGUACCAGUGCUAGACUGGGAUACGGCAAACUUAUAG